CCUACGGGAGGCAGCAGUGGGGAAUAUUGGGCAAUGGGCGCAAGCCUGACCCAGCAACGCCGCGUGAAGGAAGAAGGCUUUCGGGUUGUAAACUUCUUUUCUCAGGGACGAAGCAAGUGACGGUACCUGAGGAAUAAGCCACGGCUAACUACGUGCCAGCCGCAGCGGUAAUACGAAGGUGGUAAGCGUUAUCCGGAUUUACUGGGAGUAAGGGGCGGGUAGGCGGGGACGCAAGUCAGAUGUGGAAACCACGGGCUCAACCUGUGGCCUGCAUUUGAAACUGUGUUUCUUGAGGACUGGAGAGGCAGACGGAAUUCCUAGUGUAGCGGUGAAAUGCGUAGAUAUUAGGAGGAACACCAGUGGCGAAGGCGGUCUGCUGGACAGCAACUGACGCUGAGGCGCGAAAGCGUGGGGAGCAAACAGGAUUAGAUACCCCAGUAGUC
rnacentral:rRNA from 1 species